rnacentral:lncRNA from 1 species
CAAGAAACACAUGAUGUCCAAUUAGAAACCACCAAGAAACACAUGAUGUCCAAUUAGAAACCACCAAGAAACACAUGAUGUCCAAUUAGAAACCACCAAGAAACACAGGAUGUCCAAUUAGAAACCAUCAAGAAACACAUGAUGUCCAAUUAGAAACCAUCAAGAAACACAUGAUGUCCAAUUAGAAACCACCAAGAAACACAUGAUGUCCAAUUAGAAACCACCAAGAAACAUGAUGUCCAAUUAGAAACCACCAAGAAACAUGAUGUCCAAUUAGAAACCACCAAGAAACACAUGAUGUCCAAUUAGAAACCACCAAGAAACACAUGAUGUCCAAUUAGAAACCACCAAGAAACACUGAUGUCCAAAUAGAAACCACCAAGAAACCGAUCUCUAUUGACCACAGGAGAGUGCUGUUGUCCCUCCUCAGAGUCAGUUAUCUACCACAGGAGAGUGCUGUUGUUCCUCCUCAGAGUCAGUUAUCUACCACAGGAGAGUGCUGUUGUCCCUCCUCAGAGUCAGUUAUCUACCACAGGAGAGUGCCGUUGUUCCUCCUCAGAGUCAGUUAUCUACCACAGGAGAGUGCUGUUGUCCCUCCUCAGAGUCAGUUAUUGUAAUGAAAGAUCCUUCAUCUUUUCAUUGAUGCUCACUCAGCUUUUCCUCUUACACGUCUCUCAGAACUUUCUAGUGUUUGACAGCUUUCCUAAUAAAACAUGUUUGUGGACUGCAGGUCUUUCACUGCUCAGUCAGAAAUCAUCUUCUGGCUGCCUCCUAGACCCUGGCUGCACAGCCUGUAGCCCUUCAGGAUAACACAGGCCAGACUGAUGGGAGGGGCCAGAGUUAAUGAAAGGGGCCAUGGUGAUGAGAGGGACCGGAGUGAUGAGAGGGACCGGAGUGAUGAGAGGGGACCAGAGUAAUGAGAGGGACCGGAGUAAUGAGAGGGACCAGAGUGAUGAGAGGGACCAGAGUGAUGAGAGGGACCGGAGUGAUGAGAGGGGCCAGAGUAAUGAGAGGGACCGGAGUAAUGAGAGGGACCAGAGUGAUGAGAGGGGCCAGAGUGAUGAGAGGGACCAGAGUGAUAGGACAGAGAGGGACCAGAGUGAUGAGAGGGGCCAGAGUGAUGAGAGGGACCAGAGUGAUGAGAGGGACCGGAGUGAUGAGAGGGACCAAAGUAAUGAGAGGGACCAGAGUGAUGAGAGGGGCCAGAGUGAUGAGAGGGGCCAUGGUGAUGAGAGGGGCCAUAGUGUCAGUGCUCUCUGCUGUGGCUGUCAUCCGAUCAUUACAAUUUCCUCUUCUGGAGCUCCCUCCAGCUAUGGAAGGAUAUGGGGCCCCGCAGAGAGAGGGGGGGGCUCCAGUUAUGGAAGGAUAUAGAGCCCUGCAGAAAGAGAGGGGGGGCUUCCAGUUAUGGAAGGAUAUGGGGCCCCGCAGAGAGGGGGAGUGACUUCUUUUAUUGAAGGAAAUGGGGCCUGCCAUGCCAAAUAAUGUCCCCCAGCCAAAAAGUGUUCCUCCUCCCCGUGUCACCAAUGGGAUUCGAUAAACUGUUAGAGUCCGUUGCUAUAUCAAAGGUGUGAUGACCUAAUGAUUAACAUUUUGGAGGUCAUUUUUACAGCCUAAAUUACAUUCUUUUCACCCCCACUAUGCAAACAAGGCUGAUUUCCGUGACAA